UACAGAGGUCCCAAGCGUUGUUCGGAUUCAUUGGGCGUAAAGGGUGCGUAGGUGGCGUCGUAAGUCGGGUGUGAAAUCUCGGGGCUUAACUCCGAAACUGCAUUCGAUACUGCGGUGCUUGAGGACUGGAGAGGAGACUGGAAUUUACGGUGUAGCAGUGAAAUGCGUAGAGAUGUGGGGGAACACCAGUGGCGAAGGCGGCUCUUUGGUCUGUAACUGACGCUGAGGCGCGAAAGCGUGGGGAGCGAACAGG
rnacentral:rRNA from 1 species